UGGGGAAUUUUGGACAAUGGGGGAAACCCUGAUCCAGCCAUCCCGCGUGUGCGAUGAAGGCCUUCGGGUUGUAAAGCACUUUUGGCAGGAAAGAAACGUCAUGGGUUAAUACCCCGUGAAACUGACGGUACCUGCAGAAUAAGCACCGGCUAACUACGUGCCAGCAGCCGCGGUAAUACGUAGGGUGCAAGCGUUAAUCGGAAUUACUGGGCGUAAAGCGUGCGCAGGCGGUUCGGAAAGAAAGAUGUGAAAUCCCAGAGCUCAACUUUGGAACUGCAUUUUUAACUACCGGGCUAGAGUGUGUCAGAGUGAGGUGGAAUUCCGCGUGUAGCAGUGAAAUGCGUAGAUUUGCAGAGGAACACCGAUGGCGAAGGCAGCCUCCUGGGAUAACACUGACGCUCAUGCACGAAAGCGUGGGGAGCAAACAGG
rnacentral:rRNA from 1 species